AAGACCCGCGACUUCAGAGGGAGAGAGAGAGAGAGAGAGGAGAGAGAGAGAGAGAGAUAUCAGAGGUUGAAGAUGACGUGGGUGCUACCAGACGAACUAUGGAGAAGAAUAAUGGAAAUUGGGAUUGAAUCCAAAACCCUAGAUCACAAGAGCCUCUGCUGCCUCUCCAUCACCUGCCGCCGCCUCCACCGCCUCGCCGGAGACGAUACUCUCUGGUCUCCUCUUCUUCUUUCCGAUUUCCCUCUUGAUGUCAAUUACACCUCCUCUUCAACUUCCAACGGCAUAUUUAAGAGCCUCUACCAAAUCAGGUAUGCGAGGGGUAGAGAACAAAAGCGCCUAGCGCAUAGAAGAGCUGUUCUGAGAAUCGAGAGUGAAAUAGCUGAGCGUUCGAGGAAAAUUCAGGAGAUUGAGCACCACUCCUUUGAGGAGAAAGAGAAAUUGAAUAAGGCAGUUUCUGAGUUGGUCAAUCUACGUAGAAUCAGGCAAGCUUCUGUUGCGUUAAAUGUUUGGCAGCCAGAGAUUAUUCGAGGCAGACAAAGACAGAUAGUUCAGCAAAGCAGUGUGCCUAUUGAGUUUCGGGUCAAUUCCCUUGAGAUGGAGCUUAACCUUUGCAAGCAGCAGAUCGCAGGGUUUGAUAAGGCCCUUCGAAUAGAAAAAAGAAGGCUUAAUGCAGCUAAGGAAGAGCUAGCUUCCGUGAAAUAUCACCCAUUACGAGAUUUUGGUAGCAGUAGUUUCCAGCCGAAUGAUUGCAGGACUAGACCUAAGAAAUUGAAACACACUUCUAAGGCAAGCCGUGACUGAGCACUCGGCAGAUGCGAUCGAAAUUGAUGUCUGGAAAUUGAAAUUUGUCUUUUCAGACAACAGAUUGCAUGGUUCUAAUGCCCUCAUUUUGCUGGCUCAAUAAUCACGAACAGUCUCUAACUCAGAACUCUAUUUGCAUGAGAUAUUGAAACCAUCUUCAUAAGCGAGAUAGCAACGAGUCUGAGUCUAAUGGGUUUUAGACCUAGCAGAGUUUUACACCCGGACAGAUUCGGACUAGGCUGUGAGUUAUAUAGAAAUCGACCCAGACCUGGCCGAUUGACCGUAUAAUGUGCAUAUGUAUAAAUAUUUUGAAUCGUGUUUUUAAGGUUUCCAACUUUUCCCGUUUCCGUUGAAGAAUGUUUUGAGUUAGAAGCUAGUUAUCGGUUGAAGUUUUUAGAUUUGAUUAGUGACAAUUUUAUGGUGUGCACUUCACAUAACACAUAUAUAGCAUUUAUAAUAUUAUGUUUGAGUUUUGAGAUAA